CAUAAAGUGACACAAUAACCCUGUGUUUAGAUAAUCAAAACAAACAGAUAUACUAUCCAACUUUUUAUAUCCUUAAGACCUCAACAUGAAAAUCUAAUCAUAGCUGCAAAGAUUGGUUGUGGUUUGUUGCCAAAAGCAGUGCCCAUGUCCCACCCUAGCCCCUAAGUCCUGAGAUGACUCUGAUGAAUGCAGUGCAAUCUUUUUUAUAACUGUUUUGCAAUGAUCUAUUUUCAGAGAGGAUACUUCUCAUUCCAUUUAUUCCCAUUUUUCACCUUUCAUGACGCGCUGUGCAGGACAACUGUGAAAAUAAGCACAGACCUCUCUUCUGGUUGAUUGCCAAGUGAAAAUGUGAACCUGGACUCAGUGGAGCUUAUGUGCCUGAGAAUCUCAUUCCCUCCAAACAGUGGUCAAGGAAACAUCUUCCCUGGAGACACCAAGCAGCAGACACUGUGUUUUAAAGUGAUUUAAAACAAAAACAGAGGUUCCUCUAUUUGACCACCAAGUUCAACUGAAUACAAAUACUUUAAAUCCAAACAAGCCCUCCAAGCUUCCAGGAAACGGUUCCUCCAGAGGUGAAACAGCAAGACCAGAGACUGGAGAGUCAGAACAGACUUGUCCCUUCUUGUUUGCUUACCACUGUUACCAGCGUUGCCCAGUUCACUCCAUCACUUUGGCAGUGACAGUCAGAAAUUUAUAGCAGAAAUGAUCCCAGGAACCAGCAUGUUCAAUUCCAUUAGAGAUGGACUUUUAAGAUCGCCUUGGUGCUCUUCUUUCUGGUCACUAACUGAGCUCCCUGCCAAUGGGACGCACAAAGAACUGGAUGGCCAACCUUCAGAAUGCUGAUCAGUGGCCUGGCUGUUGUCCCCACAGUAGUCUGCAAAAUCGAUCCCAGGAGUUUUAUCAAUGGCUUGAAUAGUAAUGGCAUCGGUAAUGUACUAAGCCAGGCGUCAAUGUCAAGAAGGAACAUAAUGCCAACUAUCCAAGUGAAGUGGACUAUAGCUUCCAACUACAAAACUCACAACUAUUUAUAAUAAACCAAAAUGAAGUUAUCCGAAUAUUUCAAUACCACACAUAUUGUAUUAAAGAUGAAGUAAGUAAAGGUCCUUGUGCUUACACAGCAGGCGACAAAACCACUGAGCUAAAUCCCCGGCCCCAAGUCACAAUUUUUUUGACAAUGAGAAGUAUGAUAGGUUAUUUAAAACUGAGACUUUGUACAUAAAACUUAUUACAUUAAGAUAAAAUUAUGUGGGAGCAUUUAAAUUAAAAGAAG
ensembl:lncRNA